rnacentral:rRNA from 1 species
GCAAAGCUGAUCCAUCAUACCGCGUGUGUGAAGAAGGCCUGAGGGUUGUAAAGCACUUUCAAUAGGAAGGAAUACCUAUCGGUUAAUACCCGNGUAGACUGACAUUACCUAUACAAGAAGCACCGGCUAACUCCGUGCCAGCAGCCGCGGUAAUACGGAGGGUGCAAGCGUUAAUCGGAAUUACUGGGCGUAAAGCGUGCGUAGGCGGUUAUUUAAGUCAGAUGUGAAAGCCCUGGGCUUAACCUGGGAACUGCAUUUGAUACUGGAUGACUAGAGUUGAGUAGAGGAGAGUGGAAUUUCAGGUGUAGCGGUGAAAUGCGUAGAGAUCUGAAGGAACACCAGUGGCGAAGGCGGCUCUCUGGACUCAAACUGACGCUGAGGUACGAAAGCGUGGGUAGCAAACAGGAUUGGAUACCCUGGUAGUCCACGCCGUAAGCGAUGUCAACUAACCGUUGGGUUCUUUAAGAACUUAGUGGUGGAGCUAACGUAUUAAGUUGACCGCCUGGGGAGUACCG